AUUAAUAGACCACCACUCACCACUCACCAACGCCGACCAACCAAACCAACAGACCAUCACUCCCUAGGAGAGCGAGCCCAUGACCGGCGGCGGCGAGGAGUAGCUGAGGCGGGACUGCGGGAGUACGUCGUCGGCGACGAGAUCGACUGCGGCCGCUUCGGGACCGUCCGCCGCUGCCAUGCCGCCGCCACGGCGGCGCCUUUCGCGCACAAGUCCACGCCCAAGGCACUGCUGCGGGCGCUCGAGGUGGACAAGCUCGACCUCGCGCGCGCGGUUGGGGUGCGAUGGCCUCCCGCGGCACCGGCAGGCGGUCGGGUGCGGCGAGGCGCGGACGGCAGAUCCGGCGAGGGCGGGCGUGGAGCGGAGGAUGCGGCCGCGAGCAUAGAGCGGUGGCCUGCGGAUGCGUGUGCGAAGGCCGGCGGCGCGCGAGGGCGUGGGCGGCCAUGGCGGUGGUGCGGCGGCGGGCCGGCCGAGCUUCAGCUCCACCACGAAGCUUCGGCGUUGCUCUGGCGGCCGCGCAGGCAGUGGCGUGGCCGGUGUGCCCGGCCCGCGGAGCUGCUGCAGCGGUUGUGGGGUGCUGCUCGGCGGCCGGCAUCCUCCAUCAUAUUUUUUAUUUUUUAAAUUGGUUCGUAGAGGCGGGUGACUCUACCUGCCCCAAAAAUUCAUUUUUAGGGCCGAGUCCGCCCUCAAAAAUUCAUUUCUAGGUGGCGGCAUGUAACACCUUAAUUUAAAUUCCAGCAUUUAUUAAUAAAUUUAAUUAGUUUAUUUAAUUUUUUAAAA